AGGGCGGAAUGAAAGCUAGGAGCCGGGCUUAGCAGUUCUGGGAAAGAGGUACAAACUGGUCAACCCAUGCAGUUUGGUAAAGUAACUGGAUAGGGAACACCUAAGUUUGAAAACAAGGAUACAGGGGUGGGUGCAGGGCGGCAUGAAGUUCCGUUUUCUUUAACCCUCUCAAGUAGAGAUAUAAGAGAUGGAGCAUUUGGGAAGCACGAAAUCAUGAACAUGGAUUAUCCGAGGCCACCUAACUUCCGAUGAUGGAACGUAAAGCUAACACAUUGGCGAGCUGAUUUUAUGUCUUGAAAACACAGUGAAACAAAACCAGGGGCUGAGUUGAGGCCACAGUGACGGUGCUGCUGUCUGUGGACGGGCACGAGGGGCUGGUUACAGCACAGCACCAUCGUCUUUACUAGCUGGGACCAGAAGGUGCCACGUGCAGCUGCUGAGGUUGCAAAUGUAAAGUCAACUCCAAAGAGCAACUGCUGAACACACCGAUUCCACCAUUUUCUCCAGGGAAAAUGACACAACUGGGCUCCGUCUGAAGUGCCUGCCCUGCCAACACGAGCACUGAAGUCCAGACCCUUGGCUGUAUGGGUACGGAGUGCCUGGGCAUCCAGCUUUGCGACCCGGUGAGCACUGCGUUUAGAGGGAGAUGGUGGAGAGCAAUGGAUGAAGGCAUCCCCCACCCCCACCCCGAUUACUAUGAAGGUUUACAGUACUAACCCUUGCACGUUAAACAGCACUGCGGUAUCUGUAUGGAGUCUACAAGAAGAAACAGCCUGGAGCUAGCUCAUUAGCGGAGGGCACCUAGCUCCACCUCCAAGACUGAGAGGAGAAUGAGUGUGUGUGCCAACCGCUGGACCAGAGACAGGCUUGCCUUCUUCUAAGUUCUCAUUGACAAAACCAAAGGUUACUUUGUAUCAUCAAGGGCUGCAAACAAGAUCUGGUAAUUUGUGGGUGGUAUGGCCCUAGACACACAAAAAAACUUUUCAAUAAAUUUUCAGAGGCAUCUCUGCACACCUACACCCCUCAUGCUUAGAUGGACAGUUAGGGCUCAGAAAAGUCAGAACCAAAACCGUAAAACAACUAGAAAGUAAAAUUCAAAAUACCAGUGUAGACUUUGUAGCCUUUUUCUUAAAAAAGAAAAAAUUUAAAUCAUUGCAGAGCAGCAAGAUGGCUCAGUAGGUAAAGGUACUUGCUGCCACAUCUGAGACCCGAUUCAGUCCUUGGAACCCGCAUGGUGAAAGGAGAGAACUGACCCUGCAAGUUGUCCUCUGACUCCACCCACCAGCUGUGGCGUCCACUUUCUCAUACACACACAGAUAAGUGUAAUUUAAAAAACAAAGUAGAAAUAAAAAAUUUCUAAGCCUCUAACUCAAAAAUAACUUCAAAAAGCAGCAAGAUUUUAAUAAAGAUAAAAACAUAAAUCAAUGACUUAGAAUCCCUUAAAAGGGUAAUAUUCCUAAUAAAUACUAUAGAUUGAUCUUUAGGGAAUGGAAAUAGAUCGUAUCAUUAGCUAAUGUAAUCAAGGACAGGGGAAGAGGCCAGGAGAUGGCUCAGCAAAGUGCCUGUGAUCCUUAGAACCCACAAAAGACGCAGUGACACGUGACUGUAACCCCAGCACUGGAGAAGCAAAACAGCCCAACGCCUGGAGCUCACUGGCAGCCAAAUCAGCAAGUUCCGGCCAGGAGAGAGACGUCCCAGACAAGGGUGGGAACCUCAGGUCCUCUGGCCCCUGAGUUGCGCAUGAAGCUGCACACGCACACACAAACACAAAGAAAACAUCCGGCGUCAGGGUGAUCAUAUUACACUACUACGUUCAUCCCUAUGUAACCUCAUCAAAAAAUGUAUCAGACCCAUUCACGGAGCAGGAGAAUAAUUAAGACAAUUACCAGAGAAGAAACAGCAUUAAAAGGCUCCCAGCCCCACCCAGCACACACUGGCUUAGUUUUGCCCUGGAACUGAGCAAGCUUUACAACAGACAAUUCCACUUCGCUCACCAAGUGUCCAGGGAGGGAGGGAAGCUGCAGAUGGCGACAGUCAACACCUAAUUGUUCUGAUGCAGGGCAGGGGAGUAGGGUUAGGGCGACAAGACCCUGCAUUAACGAUAAAAAAAAACCUCUAAGGUAAGAAUCUUAAAUAACAGAUUCAAGCCUGAAAGCGUUAUAAAAGAACGAUUCCCCCAUGACCACGUGGGGUUCAACCAGAAUGCAAGGGUACAUGAAGGUAUCCAGUGACAUCACCAAUCCUAGGCUCAUAACCUGCAAAGCCAUCUGGAAAUGUUCCAGCCCCCAUUUUUGAUUGUAAAACUUUAAUAAAAUGGAGACUGACUUAA